GAUCAAACAAAGCAAUAAGCCUUAACGGCCAACGAGGAAGCCUCACGGCCAACAAUGAAGCCUCUCGGCCAAGACAGAUAAAAAGCCGCACGGCUAUGAAUGCAAUCAGUUCGGUUUAAUGCAUUAAGUUCAUUGCAAUCCUAGCAUAGAUGAUUUCUAUCAGUUCAUGAUGCAAUCAAAACUUCUCAGCUAAGUCAAAGAACAAUCACACGGCUUAUUUGAUUUCAACUCAAUACCAUCCUAGCAUAAGGUUCUAAGUGUAAUUGCAAUCAAUCAAUGUGAUCAAGUUAGGUAUGAAUGCAACAAGGCCGCACGGCCACGAGAUGAUAUGGUCUUAGUGAUUUUAAUUUAAAACUAUCAAUGCUAUCAAUAUUAGGGUUUCAAUCAAUUCAAUACCAAAUUCGAGUUUAAACAAUCUUAGCAAUAGUUCUAGGUGAUCAAAACAAUCAAUCAAGAUUCAAAUUCAAACAAUCAAAACCGAUUUUCAAAUUAGGGUUUAGGGUUUCUAUUUUGAUCUUUGAUCAAAGAAGAUUGUUUUGAGAUUCAAAACCAUCAAAGAUUUUGAUUUUAAUUGAUCAAUAGAUCAAUCUCGAUUUAGGGUUUGGGGUAUCGAACUUUUGAGCUUCGAUUUACUCAUUAGGGUUUGAUCUAUUAUCCUAUGGCUUUUAUCAGAAAGAUUAGGAUUUUAGGGUUUUAUUCUUUAUCAAACAAUCCAAAUUCGAUCAUAGGUUCUUAGAUUUCGAAUUACCUUUUAACCUAGAUGAUUGUUGAAACCGGACCACCAACAAGGAUGAACCGCGAGCUGCAAUACGAACAGGAACAAACGCGAGCUAUCCGCGAGCUGGACACAAGCUGAUCGGGAACGCCUUGAUCGUCGGGUGCGUGCUGACUGCGAGCUGGACACGCGCGGAUUGAAGUUGAUCGGAGACACGAGCUGGAAUGGGUCAAGUCGCGAACAUCGGAUCGGGAACACGGGCCGUCCGGGAUGCGAGCUGAGGCUGAGGUCGUCUGAGUGUUGAGCUGAAACGGAUCGCGAGCUGAGGCUAUCGGAUCGUGAACGCCUCGGUUGGGAUGCAAGAGACGCGAUCGGGAAUUAGGGUUCGUCGGGUCGCGGCUAGGGUUAGGGUUUUAGGAGUUUUUCGAUUUGGUUUCUUAGCUUAGGGAUUUAGAGUUUCGUGCUGAUAACAUGUUAUAAAAGUAAUGGAAAAGUCUAUCUUUAUUCAUAACAUAGAGGUUCCUUAUAUAGGAGAUUACACCGUCAUAGAUAAUAGAAAGAUUACAAAUCAUAAUCUCUUGGUUAUGAGUCAUCCACAAUCUAGUUCAUAAUAGAAAACUUAUUUAAUUAGGUAUAUAGCAAUGACAUUGUUUUUUUUCAUAAUACCCAUUAUAUCUCUAUUUCCUUGUCUGUCAACAUGUAGUUUAGUAACCGGAAGACCUGCAUCUUGACAAAUAUAUUUUUAUUUUUAAUAAUAUUAACAGAAAUUAAGAAAAAAACAAAAACAAAAUCUCUCCAACGCUUUCUUCGUUAUUCUCUCUCUCUCUUUCCAUCUCUCACUGAUUUGAUCUUCUUCUUCUUAUUUUCAGUUAAAAUUUUAAUUAAUUAUAUCAUUCCGUUCCAGGUUUCUUUUACUUUGAUAAUGAAAAGAACACAAAACUGAUCCCCAAAUACCCAGAAAAUUUCUGACUAACAAAAUUGAUAAACUUUUCAACAAAUCCUUUCUUCUUCUCUGUUUCUUCUUCACCACAACGUCCUUCAUCCACCGAGUCACCACCAGCCAACUCCCCCGAACUCGAGCCCAACUCAUUGAGUCGACUCGGCACGAGCGAGUUUACUCAAAAGAUGAUUUUUCCGAUCCGGUCUUUCUUCCUCUUUUUAAUCUCCAAGCUGUAUUCGAAGGCGCCAAUGAUCUCGUGAAGGAGUUUGCUAAUCCUACCUAACCCAGUAACUCGUGUUGCAGCUGAAGCAAUCACAUAGAUAGAGAGGAGAGUGAUGAUAAUCUUCUUUGGGUUUUUCUUUCUUAAAGCGAGAGAUACAAUUUGGGUCACGGGAACAGGAGAUAAGUGAAUAUUGGCACAACAAGACAACAAUAUUGCUUUAACUUUCUCCUAAGACAAGGAUUGCUUAUUGGACAAGACCGUUGAUGAUAGAGGCAAGGCCAUCGUACUUGUGUACACCCUUCUACUCAAUCCUUAGUUCUGGUUCACUCAAUCCUUUAUAGUUUCAGUUAAUAGUUGCAAUAAGUAGUAAAGAACACUGUCUUUGUAUCGGCUAGUUCUUCAUUAUGUAUCUAUUUGCUCAUGUCUUCUAUUGAAUGAAAUUGUGUUGAUUGGUUCCA